UAUAAACUAGUUAAAAUUACAUAACACAAGAAUGUCAUUCUUAAAUUACUCUAAGUGUUUAUAA
rnacentral:tRNA from 1 species